rnacentral:rRNA from 1 species
CUUGGCAGCCAUAGCGAUACGGUACCACCUGAUCCCAAGUUCCGAACUCAGAAGUGAAACGUAUUAGCGCCGAUGGUAGUGUGGGGUUUCCCCAUGCGUUGUGACACUCUUAACG